AACGUUUGUGUAGCAUGCAUUAAAGGAAAACAGACUAAAGAUAAGAAAUUAGGCGCAUAUAGAGCUACAGACGUCUUAGAAUUGAUACAUACGGACAUCUGUGGGCCAUUUCCAACUCCUUCUUGGAAUGGUCAACAAUAUUUUAUAUCAUUCAUAGACGAUUAUUCUAGAUAUGCCUACCUUUACCUAAUUCACGAAAAGUCCCAAUCAAUAGACGUGUUCAAAUCCUUUAAGGCAGAAGUUGAGAAUCAACUUAAUAAAAGAAUUAAAAAGGUCAAAUCUGAUCGUGGUGGUGAAUACUACGGCAGAUAUGACGGUUCAGGUGAACAACGUCCGGGACCAUUUGCCAAAUACCUAGAGGAAUGUGGAAUCGUCCCACAAUACACUAUGCCGGGGUCACCCAGCAUGAAUGGUGUAGCUGAAAGACGAAACAGGACUCUUAAGGAUAUGGUAAGGAGUAUGAUUUGUCAUUCCACCUUGCCAGAGUCACUCUGGGGAGAGGCAUUAAAAACAGCAGCAUACAUUCUUAAUAGAGUACCAACUAAGGCAGCGGCUAAAACACCUUAUGAGCUUUGGAUUGGGCGUAAGCCUAGUCUGAAGCACCUUCAUGUUUGGGGAUGUCCAGCUGAGGCAAGGCCUUAUAGGCCGAAUGAAAAGAAAUUUGAACCCCGAACAAUUAGCAGCUAUUUUAUAGGGUACUCAGAAAAAUCAAGGGGCUAUAAAUUUUAUGAUCCUAAUUUGAGAACAAUUUUUGAGACGGGAACGGCAACGUUCUUUGAGGAUAUUGAGUUUGGGGGGAAGAUUAAGGUUAAAGAUUUUGUCUUUGAGGAAGAAUCGGUAACAAUUCCAGAACUGAUUCUUCCACCAAUUGACUUUCCCAUUAUUGAACAAACUCAAGAUGAUCUGGUUGUUCAGGAAGAACAAAAUCCAGAUCAAAUUCAAGAUCCUCAAGAACAAGUGCCUCAAGAGCCAGCUCCAUUGCGGAGAUCCACUAGAGAAAGGAAAAAUGCUAUUUCGGAUGAUUAUGUAGUAUUUAUCAAUGAGGUAGAGGAAAAUGUUGGCAUGACGGAAGACGACCCAGUCAACUUUCAUCAAGCCAUGCAAGAUUCUCGUUCAGAUAAGUGGAUCGAAGCAAUGAAUGAGGAGUACAAGUCUAUGCAAGACAAUUCAGUUUGGGAACUUAUCCCAUUACCUGAAGGAAAGAAACCCAUUGGUUGCAAAUGGAUUUUUAAAACCAAGCGGGAUUCCAAUGGUAAUGUGGAGAGAUAUAAGGCACGUCUUGUAGCUAAGGGUUAUACUCAAAAGGAAGGGAUUGAUUAUAAAGAGACUUUCUCUCCGGUUUCAUCGAAGGACUCUUUAAGAAUAAUCAUGGCUCUUGUUGCUCACUUUAAUUUGGAGCUUCAUCAAAUGGAUGUAAAAACAGCUUUUCUCAAUGGCGACAUUGAUGAGACGAUCUAUAUGGUGCAGCCAGAAAACUUUGUGUUGGGAGACCCAAAGAAUAUGGUGUGCAAACUAAGAAAAUCCAUUUAUGGGCUAAAACAAGCUUCUCGUCAAUGGUACCAUAAAUUUCAUCAAGUAAUUCUCUCAUUUGGUUUUGAGAUGAAUACAGUUGAUGAUUGUGUGUAUCAUAAGUUCAGUGGGAGCAGACAUAUUUUCCUGGUCUUGUAUGUUGAUGACAUACUGCUUGCCACUAACGAUAUAGGCAUGUUGCACGAAACUAAGAAAUUUCUAUCAAAGCAUUUUGAGAUGAAAGAUCUUGGUGACGCCUCUUUUGUAUUAGGAAUUCAGAUACACCGAGACAGAUCUCGAGGUAUUCUUGGAUUGUCACAAAAGAGCUAUAUCGAUAAGGUUCUCAAAAGGUUUGGGUUACAGGAUUGCAAACCAGGGGACACCCCAGUUGCUAAGGGAGACAAGUUUAGUCUCAAACAGUGCCCUAAGGGAAGUUUGGAAAUUCAAGAAAUGCAAAAGAUCCCUUAUGCUUCAGCUGUAGGGAGUCUUAUGUAUGCCCAAGUAUGUACGCGUCCAGACAUAGCGUUCAUAGUAGGGAUUUUAGGCAGAUAUUUAAGCAAUCCAGGUCUUGACCAUUGGAAAGCAGCCAAGAGGGUCAUGAGAUAUUUGAAGAGAACAAGAAACUACAUGCUCACAUAUAGGAGGUCAGACCAGUUAGAGAUCACUGGGUACUCUGACUCGGAUUUUGCGGGAUGCCAAGACAGCUUAAGAUCAACUUCAGGCUAUGUCUUUCUGUUAGCUGGUGGAGCAGUUUCUUGGCGUAGUGCCAAGCAAGGUCUUACUGCUUCAUCAACCAUGGCAGCAGAAUUCGUAGCAAUUCAUGAGGCAUCUGACCAGGGCAUUUGGCUGAGAAAUUUUGUCACGGGGCUGCAAAUAGUUGAAGGGAUUGAAAGACCACUCAAGUUGUAUUGUGACAAUAGAUCAGCAGUCCUGUAUUCUAACAAUAAUAGGAGCUCAACCAAGUCAAAGCACAUUGACAUUAAGUUCCUAGUUGUUAAAGAGAAGGUACAAAGUGGACAGAUAUCCAUAGAACACUUAAGGACAAACUCCAUGAUUGCGGAUCCACUCACUAAAGGUCUACCACCCAAGGUCUUUCAUGAGCAUACUGCUCACAUGGGUGUGCUACAGUUUGAGGAAUCUUGAUUUUAGUGGGAGUUUCGUCCAUUAUGUAAUUCAUGUUCUAUGUUUAAUUGUAAAGUACAAAUACAUUGUAUUUGGACUUUCUGAUCAGAAAUAAAGUUUAAAGUAUUCAGUUUUUGGUUACUUUGUACAUUUAAGUUAUGGUAUGAUCUCAUUCGAUAAAGUAGGACCAGUUGAAAAUUGACAUGCAUUGACCAACUUCAUGUAAUUUUCAUGCUACACUUUUCAUAAUGGGUCUAUGUCAUUUAGUUGUGUCAGUACGGGUGAUCAUUGAUGGGUUUAGUUAUGCUUAUUAUGACGAAAGCCUCUUUGGUUCCAUGUGCUGAUAUGAUUAAUGGACGGGACAAUUUGGAUUAUACUCAAGGUAAUUAUAAUGACAUUUUUGACGUCAUAAAGUCUAACACACUCCUAAGGAUACAUGUGUGACCAGUGGGAGAUUGUAAGAUUUAUGGGUCACAUACGUAAUUAAUUAAUAAAGUGUGUUAGGGUCAUUAUAUAAUUAGCCAAUAAACUAGGGGUCAAAUAAAAUAUAAUAGUUUAUGGCUAAAGAGCAUAAUGGUUAUGAAAAUUAAUAGUGUAGAUACCAGGCAGUUUCUAAUUUAAUGAGGGGCUGAAUUGGAAAUACUGCAAUUUGGGAUAUAACUAAUAAUAGUUAUAUAUAGGGGUAAUGGUCCCUAAGGCAAACACAACAAGACUAUUCAGUUUCAAAACCCUAAAGGAGAAAACUCUCUGGUUCUCUCAAUCCCCAUCAAGAGAGCAAGGUCUUCAGGGUGUUUUGCUGAGGAAGAUCACCCAACCCAUUGGCUCUAUCAUCAUCAUCCCAGGAUUUCAUCAAUGGCAAUUCCCACAGGUACGCUUCCGCCUUUGGUCAUUCAUCAUGUAAUUGACAUGGAUUAUUAACACGACCUCGUCCUACAAAGCUUUUAGUUUUCCAUGACUUGUCUCUUUCAUUCUUAGAAAUCUUCGUACUAUUAUUUCUUUCUUUAGUGACAUAUUUCGUGUUGUGUAUGUCACGUCACGAAGUUAAACCAAAUAUUUUAAUGACUCGUCGAUCCAACAAUGUAGUUCUCUAGACCCGCGUAAACAAAAGGUGUGCCGCUUGAGAACAGAUGAGCCAAUUACACUAGUAAGCCUUUAUCAGAUGAUAUAAUUAAAGGAUCUCAUAAUUUUAUUUGAAAUGAUUUGCCUGUCCAUAAUUUUAACGAUAUUCUUCAUCUGAAUAUGCUUAUAAGUGUCAUAAUUUUAACGAUAUUCUUCAUCUGAAUAUGCUUAUAAGUGUUUUGAUCCUCAAAUACAUAAGAUAUACACAUCAUAUUAUGUGGUAUUUUCUGAUGAUCAAUUCCCUUAUCUUACCUUCACCUUACACUCAAACAACACCUCAAAUAUCCACCAGCUAAUCAUAUCAACAAUAUCAUUGACACCAAAUGACUUUGUAGGAUUAAUUUUAUGCAAUAUCUCUAUCUCUAUAGGUUACUUUUAUUCAAUGAAAUGUCAUUCUUUGCCACAACUAAGCUGCACUAAAUUUAUAAAAUUGAUAAUGCUUAAAAGAUAACAAUGUGAAAUUGUGCCUAUAGAUUUGGAGGCCUAGUAUCAACAUUUUGAUUUCAAGGGUAAAAUUUUUUAUUGCAGAAUGAGGAGCAAGAGAAAAUUGAUAGUUCUAUUUCUCAAUACAAGUUUAGAAAGGUAAAAGAAAAAUGAAGCAAGAAGUGUACAAAAUUACAAUGGCACAUGAUACAUAACAUAUAUAUUAUAUAUAUAACAAAUUAACAAACUUAAUUUUGGCUCUCACUUCCAAUUAUUGGCAACAAUGUCAGCCAAAUCAACAACCCUUUGUGAGUAACCCCAUUCAUUAUCAUACCAAGCAAUCACCUUAACCAGAUCAUCUCCCAUGACCAUAGUCAACGAUGAGUCAACGGUUGAGGACACAUCAGUGCACCUAAAAUCUACAGACACAAGUGGCUCAUCACAAACUGAGAGAAUACCAUUUAGCUCAUUGGCUGCACUCUCUCUAAAUGCCUCAUUCACUUCCUCAGCAAAGGUCUUUUUUGUGACUUGAACGACGAGGUCCACCACCGAAACGUUAGGUGUUGGCACACGAAGUGCAAUACCAUUGAGCUUGCCUUUGAGUGUUGGGAGGACAAGGGCUACUGCCUUUGCUGCUCCGGUUGAAGUUGGGACUAUGUUGAGUGCUGCUGCCCUCGCACGCCUUAGGUCGCGGUGGCUAGCGUCAAGUAGCCUUUGGUCCCCGGUGUAGGAGUGAGUGGUAGUCAUGGUACCCUUGAUGAUACCUAUCACCGAAUAUGUUAGAAAUGUACGAAUACUAUAAACAGCUUAAUUAAACGUUUAUUUGAAAAACUGAACAUAUCAUAAGUUAUUUUUAUAAAAAUAACUUUUUGUGAUUGGUUAGAAGGUACAUUACCAAAUUUCUGAUCAAGGACCUUGACAAAGGGAGCAAGGCAGUUAGUGGUGCAAGAAGCAUUGCUGAUGAUGGCUUCAUCAUGAGUGUAAGCAUCAGCAUUGACACCAACCACAUAAGUUGGGAUAUCUCCUUUUCCAGGUGCUGUGAUGAGCACUUUCUUAGCUCCUGCUUCAAUGUGCUUCCCUGCACCUUCUCUGUCCACAAACACUCCAGUUCCUUCAAUCACCAAGUCUAUCCCCAACUCCCUGCAAUACCAACAUCAUUUCAUGCGUCAUAUCAUAUAUUUCUUUUAUCUCUACAUAUACUUUAACAAAUUAGAAUAUAUUUGGUUUGAGAAAAUCAUUUCCAUCUUUUUUGAACUGAGAUAUCUUUUUACACACCACAAUCUCAUGUGAUAACUGUGAUUCUUUUAAAGGAAUAUGCAACUACAGAGAUUAAUCUCAUGAGUUAUAAUUGUGAGCCGUUUAAGUGGUUGAUAUCUCUUAAUAGAUAUUUUUCCAUACGUACUUGCAAGAGAUCGAAUCUCUAACCACAUACUUACGAGACUCAAGUAUCAAUUGUUAAAUGAACUUGAGUCUCACUUCCAAAAACUUUGAGACGAGGGUGCCAAAGUACAUAUAUACAAUGCACAACCAAAAACCUUAGCAAUGUCGGACUCAAACACAACUUCAAUACCAUGUUAAAUGAGUUGGGAUCUUCAUGAAGAUCCAAACUCAUUUAACAUCUACUAAGUUAUUCAUACCAUGUUGAUAAACAAUUUCUAUUUCUAAGUAAAGUAAAAACUUUUGUGAAACCAAACAGAGGACAAGAGUUGCUUUGCAAUCAAAUGAAUGAAUGAGAGGGAGAAGC
rnacentral:lncRNA from 1 species